CAGUCGCCACGGUAAUACGAAGGGUGCAAGCGUUACUCGGAAUUACUGGGCGUAAAGCGUGCGUAGGUGGUUGUUUAAGUCUGCUGUGAAAGCCCUGGGCUCAACCUGGGAAUUGCAGUGGAUACUGGGCAACUAGAGUAAGGUAGAGGAUAGUGGAAUUUCCUGUGUAGCGGUGAAAUGCGUAGAUAUAGGAAGGAACACCAGUGGCGAAGGCGACUACCUGGACUGAUACUGACACUGAGGUGCGAAAGCGUGGGGAGCAAACAGGAUUAGAUACCCCCGUAGUCCCUGUCUCUUAUAA
rnacentral:rRNA from 1 species